rnacentral:tRNA from 1 species
UGGGGUUUUGGGUCAAUGGUAGAGCACUUGCCUAGCAAGUGUUAAGUGCUGGGUUCGAUUCUCAGAACCACAU